rnacentral:rRNA from 1 species
UGGGGAAUAUUGGACAAUGGGCGCAAGCCUGAUCCAGCCAUGCCGCGUGAGUGACGAAGGUCUUCGGAUUGUAAAGCCCUUUUAGCAGGGAAGAUAAUGACGGUACCUGCAGAAUAAGCCCCGGCUAACUUCGUGCCAGCAGCCGCGGUAAUACGAAGGGGGCUAGCGUUGUUCGGAAUUACUGGGCGUAAAGCGCACGUAGGCGGAUUGAUAAGUUAGAGGUGAAAUCCCGGGGCUCAACCUCGGAACUGCCUUUGAUACUGUUAGUCUCGAGUCCGAUAGAGGUGAGUGGAAUUCCUAGUGUAGAGGUGAAAUUCGUAGAUAUUAGGAAGAACACCAGUGGCGAAGGCGGCUCACUGGAUCGGUACUGACGCUGAGGUGCGAAAGCGUGGGGAGCAAACAGGAUUAGAUACCCGGGUAGUCCCUGAGCGGGCUGGCAAGGCGCAU